rnacentral:rRNA from 1 species
UACGUAGGGGGCAAGCGUUGUCCGGAAUUAUUGGGCGUAAAGAGCGCGUAGGCGGUCCGAUAAGUCGGCUGUGAAAGUCAAGGGCUCAACCCUUGAAAGCCGGCCGAUACUGUCGGGCUAGAGUCCGGAAGAGGCGAGUGGAAUUCCCGGUGUAGCGGUGGAAUGCGUAGAGAUCGGGAAGAACAUCGGUGGCGAAGGCGGCCCGCUGGGCUGGUGCUGACGCUGAGGCGCGACAGCGUGGGGAGCAAACAGG